rnacentral:lncRNA from 1 species
UAACAUUGCUUUUAAACGGCCGCGUCGAAUUGAAUGACAGCAGCCCAACCAAUGACGCUUCCCGGGUUCCCCGUUUUCAGGUUAUCAUCUUUGGUUGGGACGUUGGGUGGAGAGGAUGAGUCGCAAGUGUCUGUUGGCACUUCAAUGUCUUUUCUGAAAUUUUGGAAUCAAAUUUGACAUGGUAUCCUUAACGAUUGGACCAUGGGGGAAUAAUCCUUUUGUGAUCAUUUAGGUAAAGCUUAUUUUGUGAUCAUCACAAAAAUUAGGACGGCAGGCAUCUUUACUUUUUGUGCUGGAUGGAAUAUGGA